rnacentral:rRNA from 1 species
UGCGGAAGGAUCAUUCAUAAUAAGUGUUCUACUGCACUUUUUAAACAAGUACUCACCUUGUGUGCAAUGUUUGCUGUCGUGUCGUUUGUUCGUCUCGACAGUAUAAUACCAACCUUUUAUUGUAAAUUUUUUGUCUGAAGCUAUUUCGAAUAAAUAAUUCUAAAUACAACUUUCAACAACGGAUCUCUUGGCUCUCGCAUCGAUGAAGAACGCAGCGAAAUGCGAUACGUAAUGUGAAUUGCAGAAUUCAGUGAAUCAUCGAAUCUUUGAACGCACAUUGCACUCUCUGGUAUUCCGGAGAGUAUGCUUGUUUGAGUAUCUGUAAACAUCUCAAAUCUCUCUUCGCUUGCGUCGAGAGAAUUGGAUUUGAGCGAUCCCGACUCCUUCGUCAGAAAGAGGAGGGUCGCUUGAAAUGCAGGUGCAGCUGGACAUUCUUCUGAGCUAAAAGCAUAUCUAUUUAGUCCCGUCAAACGGAUUAUUACUUUUGCUUCAGCUAAUAUAAAGGUCGAAUGAACUACCAACGCUGAUUGCAGGAAAACUUGUUCGUUUAUUCGGACUUGUAAACUCGAUCUCAAAUCAAGUAAGACUACCCGCUGAACUUAAGCAAUCU